AUACGGAGGGAGCGAGCGUUAAUCGGAAUUACUGGGCGUAAAGCGCGCGUAGGCGGCUUUGUAAGUCGGAUGUGAAAGCCCCGGGCUCAACCUGGGAAUUGCAUUCGAUACUGCAGAGCUAGAGUAUGGUAGAGGGAAGUGGAAUUUCCGGUGUAGCGGUGAAAUGCGUAGAUAUCGGAAGGAACACCAGUGGCGAAGGCGACUUCCUGGGCCAAUACUGACGCUGAGGUGCGAAAGCGUGGGGAGCAAACAGGAUUAGAAACCCCGGUAGUCC
rnacentral:rRNA from 1 species